rnacentral:rRNA from 1 species
UACAGAGGUCUCAACCGUUGUUCGGAUUCAUUGGGCGUAAAGGGUGCGUAGGCGGCUUGUUGCGUCGGCUGUGAAAACCCGCGGCUUAACCGUGGGCUGCAGCCGAUACGGGCAGGCUAGAGUUCGGUAGGAGACUGGAAUUCCUGGUGUAGCGGUGAAUGCGCAGAUAUCAGGAGGAACACCGGUGGCGAAGGCGGUCUCUGGCCGAUACUGACGCUGAGGAGCGAAGCGUGGAGCGAACAGG